rnacentral:rRNA from 1 species
CACGUAGGGUGCGAGCGUUGUCCGGAAUUAUUGGGCGUAAAGAGCUCGUAGGCGGUGUGUCGCGUCGGCCGUGAAAACCUGCAGCUUAACUGUGGGCGUGCGGUCGAUACGGGCAUCACUGGAGUUCGGUAGGGGAGACUGGAAUUCCUGGUGUAGCGGUGAAAUGCGCAGAUAUCAGGAGGAACACCGGUGGCGAAGGCGGGUCUCUGGGCCGAUACUGACAGCUGAGGAGCGAAAGCGUGGGGAGCAAACAGG